CCAAUAAUAAAGACACAAUCUGUUAAUCAGAGGUUUUACCAGGAUAGCUAUCAUGCUUUAAGGAUCUUCCUUGGAUUUUCUGACCUUGUGUCCUUUUUUUGCAGACAUGAAGCAAGUAAUUGUUCUGCUGUCAGUAUUGUCGCUCACCGUGUCCUCUCGUCCUGAUGAGGAGCUCGAAUGUAGGUCUGGAGAAUGUCUUCCUGCUGCACUCAUCUCUGAUUUAAAGACAGGCUGUAAAAAUGGCACGGACCAGGAGGUUUGGGGCUUAUGUACCUUUGAGCAUCACUCCUGUGGAUGGAACGACACCAGCGACUCCUCCUACCGCUGGAGACGGCAAAUGGCAAACAUCACCUCAGUACCUGGGCUGGAUCAUACCACAGGAAGUCCAUCGGGAUAUGUCAUGCGUGUGGACGGCAAACAAGACGGUGGUAUGUUUCCAACAGCUACACUGGAGUAUUCUGUUGACAAGCUGGCAGCUCUGGGAUGUCAGAUCAGCUUCUGGUACUAUAUUUAUGAUGAAGCGUCAAAAUCGUCAUCAUCUUUCAAACUAACCAUGCUCAGAGGUGACACUGAGGAGAAGUUGAUGCCCAUAUCUGACAGUAACACAGGCGGUUGGGAUAAUGCCACCGCCUUCAUCGGUAAUCGGCCAGGAGGAUACAAGUUGCGGUUGUCAUUUGAUCAAGAAUUUUUAACAGAAAAGGACGUCAUGGUGGACGAUAUCAGCUUUGAGUACUGUAAAGAGGGAGAGGUCCCUGCAGGAUCGGAACAACUCUCAUGUGAUUUUGAAACUGACACCUGUUCGUGGUACCCUGACUACACUGCCAGCCUUUUGUGGGAAAGGAGUGAUGGAAGAUAUGAUGACGGCCCAGCUGGGGAAGGUAAAUUUUGUUUAAGCAAUUAUGUUGUGGCAUCUUUUUUGGAGCAAUAUCACAUGUAAGCACAA
rnacentral:lncRNA from 1 species